rnacentral:rRNA from 1 species
GACGAACCGUGCGAACGUUAUUCGGAAUCACUGGGCUUAAAGCGCGUGUAGGCGGGGAGGCACGUCCGACGUUGAAAUCCCCCGGCUCAACCGGGGAACUGGCGCGGAUACGACCUUCCUGGAGGGCGUAGGGGGACCUGGAACUUCCGGUGGAGCGGUGAAAUGCGUUGAGAUCGGAGGGAACGCCCGUGGCGAAAGCGAGGUCCUGGCGCCUACGUGACGCGUGAGACGCGAAAGCCAGGGGGAGCCGAACGGGAUAGAA